rnacentral:rRNA from 1 species
UUAAGCGACUAAGCGUACACGGUGGAUGCCCUGGCAGUCAGAGGCGAUGAAGGGCGUGCUAAUCUGCGAUAAGCGCCGGUAAGGUGAUAUGAACCGUUAUAACCGGCGAUACCCGAAUGGGGAAACCCAGUGUGACUCGUCACACUAUCAUUAACUGAAUCCAUAGGUUAAUGAGGCGAACCGGGGGAACUGAAACAUCUAAGUACCCCGAGGAAAAGAAAUCAACCGAGAUUCCCCCAGUAGCGGCGAGCGAACGGGGAGGAGCCCAGAGCCUGAAUCAGCAUGUGUGUUAGUGGAAGCGUCUGGAAAGGCGCGCGAUACAGGGUGACAGCCCCGUACACAAAAGCGCAUGUGCUGUGAGCUCGAUGAGUAGGGCGGGACACGUGGUAUCCUGUCUGAAUAUGGGGGGACCAUCCUCCAAGGCUAAAUACUCCUGACUGACCGAUAGUGAACCAGUACCGUGAGGGAAAGGCGAAAAGAACCCCGGCGAGGGGAGUGAAAAAGAACCUGAAACCGUGUACGUACAAGCAGUGGGAGCCCCACCACCAAAGCGUUUCGCUUUGUGUGGUGCACAAAGAAGCGUAACGACAGCACUGAAUGACGGUUAACGGAGCGCAAGCGACGUUCAACAUACAAAGUCAAGCAGUGGAGCGCUUUGGGGUGGGGUGACUGCGUACCUUUUGUAUAAUGGGUCAGCGACUUAUAUUCUGUAGCAAGGUUAACCGAAUAGGGGAGCCGGAGGGAAACCGAGUCUUAACCGGGCGUUAAGUUGCAGGGUAUAGACCCGAAACCCGGUGAUCUAGCCAUGGGCAGGUUGAAGGUUGGGUAACACUAACUGGAGGACCGAACCGACUAAUGUUGAAAAAUUAGCGGAUGACCUGUGGCUGGGGGUGAAAGGCCAAUCAAACCGGGAGAUAGCUGGUUCUCCCCGAAAGCUAUUUAGGUAGCGCCUCGUGAAUUCAUCUCCGGGGGUAGAGCACUGUUUCGGCUAGGGGGCCAUCCCGGCUUACCAACCCGAUGCAAACUGCGAAUACCGGAGAAUGUUAUCACGGGAGACACACGGCGGGUGCUAACGUCCGUCGUGAAGAGGGAAACAACCCAGACCGCCAGCUAAGGUCCCAAAGUCAUGGUUAAGUGGGAAACGAUGUGGGAAGGCCCAGACAGCCAGGAUGUUGGCUUAGAAGCAGCCAUCAUUUAAAGAAAGCGUAAUAGCUCACUGGUCGAGUCGGCCUGCGCGGAAGAUGUAACGGGGCUAAACCAUGCACCGAAGCUGCGGCAGCGACGCUUAUGCGUUGUUGGGUAGGGGAGCGUUCUGUAAGCCUGUGAAGGUGGCCUGUGAGGGUUGCUGGAGGUAUCAGAAGUGCGAAUGCUGACAUAAGUAACGAUAAAGCGGGUGAAAAGCCCGCUCGCCGGAAGACCAAGGGUUCCUGUCCAACGUUAAUCGGGGCAGGGUGAGUCGACCCCUAAGGCGAGGCCGAAAGGCGUAGUCGAUGGGAAACGGGUUAAUAUUCCCGUACUUGGUGUUACUGCGAAGGGGGGACGGAGAAGGCUAUGUUGGCCGGGCGACGGUUGUCCCGGUUUAAGCGUGUAGGUGUGUGUUCCAGGUAAAUCCGGUUCACUUUAACACUGAGGCGUGACGACGAGGCACUACGGUGCUGAAGCAACAAAUGCCCUGCUUCCAGGAAAAGCCUCUAAGCAUCAGGUAACAUCAAAUCGUACCCCAAACCGACACAGGUGGUCAGGUAGAGAAUACCAAGGCGCUUGAGAGAACUCGGGUGAAGGAACUAGGCAAAAUGGUGCCGUAACUUCGGGAGAAGGCACGCUGACACGUAGGUGAAGUGAUUUACUCAUGGAGCUGAAGUCAGUCGAAGAUACCAGCUGGCUGCAACUGUUUAUUAAAAACACAGCACUGUGCAAACACGAAAGUGGACGUAUACGGUGUGACGCCUGCCCGGUGCCGGAAGGUUAAUUGAUGGGGUCAGCGCAAGCGAAGCUCCUGAUCGAAGCCCCGGUAAACGGCGGCCGUAACUAUAACGGUCCUAAGGUAGCGAAAUUCCUUGUCGGGUAAGUUCCGACCUGCACGAAUGGCGUAAUGAUGGCCAGGCUGUCUCCACCCGAGACUCAGUGAAAUUGAACUCGCUGUGAAGAUGCAGUGUACCCGCGGCAAGACGGAAAGACCCCGUGAACCUUUACUAUAGCUUGACACUGAACAUUGAGCCUUGAUGUGUAGGAUAGGUGGGAGGCUUUGAAGUGUGGACGCCAGUCUGCAUGGAGCCGACCUUGAAAUACCACCCUUUAAUGUUUGAUGUUCUAACGUGGACCCGUUACCCGGGUUGCGGACAGUGUCUGGUGGGUAGUUUGACUGGGGCGGUCUCCUCCUAAAGAGUAACGGAGGAGCACGAAGGUUGGCUAAUCCUGGUCGGACAUCAGGAGGUUAGUGCAAUGGCAUAAGCCAGCUUGACUGCGAGCGUGACGGCGCGAGCAGGUGCGAAAGCAGGUCAUAGUGAUCCGGUGGUUCUGAAUGGAAGGGCCAUCGCUCAACGGAUAAAAGGUACUCCGGGGAUAACAGGCUGAUACCGCCCAAGAGUUCAUAUCGACGGCGGUGUUUGGCACCUCGAUGUCGGCUCAUCACAUCCUGGGGCUGAAGUAGGUCCCAAGGGUAUGGCUGUUCGCCAUUUAAAGUGGUACGCGAGCUGGGUUUAGAACGUCGUGAGACAGUUCGGUCCCUAUCUGCCGUGGGCGCUGGAGAACUGAGGGGGGCUGCUCCUAGUACGAGAGGACCGGAGUGGACGCAUCACUGGUGUUCGGGUUGUCAUGCCAAUGGCACUGCCCGGUAGCUAAAUGCGGAAGAGAUAAGUGCUGAAAGCAUCUAAGUACGAAACUUGCCCCGAGAUGAGUUCUCCCUGAGACUUUAGGUCUCCUGAAGGAACGUUGAAGACGACGACGUUGAUAGGCCGGGUGUGUAAGCGCAGCGAUGCGUUGAGCUAACCGGUACUAAUGAACCGUGAGGCUUAACCUU